GACGAACGUUGGCGGCGUGCUUAAUACAUGCAAGUCAACUGAAGCACCGGUAGUAAUACUGGUGUGGAGGUGGCGCACGGGUGAGUAACACGUAGGUAAUCUGCCUUCAGGUCUGACAUAACCCCGAGAAAUCGGGGCUAAUAGCAGAUGAUGCAGCGGCUUGACAUCAAAGACAGUUGUUAAAGCUUCGGCGCCUGAAGAUGAGCCUGCGUCUGAUUAGCUAGUUGGCGGAGUAAUGGCCCACCAAGGCUACGAUCAGUAACUGGUCUGAGAGGAUGAUCAGUCACACUGGAACUGAGACACGGUCCAGACUCCUACGGGAGGCAGCAGUAAGGAUAUUGCUCAAUGGGAGAAAUCCUGAAGCAGCAACGCCGCGUGAGGGAUGAAGGGCUUUUAGCUCGUAAACCUCUGUAGUGAGGGAAAAAUUUCCACUCUGUGGAAUAUGAUGGUACCUC
rnacentral:rRNA from 1 species